rnacentral:rRNA from 1 species
UACGAAGGGGGCUAGCGUUGCUCGGAAUCACUGGGCGUAAAGGGCGCGUAGGCGGAUAUCUAAGUUGGGGGUGAAAUCCCGGGGCUCAACCUCGGAAUUGCCUUCAAAACUGGAUAUCUUGAGUUCGGGAGAGGUGAGUGGAACUCCGAGUGUAGAGGUGAAAUUCGUAGAUAUUCGGAAGAACACCAGUGGCGAAGGCGACUCACUGGCCCGAUACUGACGCUGAGGCGCGAAAGCGUGGGGAGCGAACAGG